rnacentral:rRNA from 1 species
AUUGAACGCUGGCGGCAGGCCUAACACAUGCAAGUCGAACGAGUGGCGGACGGGUGAGUCAUGUCUGGGAAACUGCCUGAUGGAGGGGGAUAACUACUGGAACCGGUAGCUAAUCCCGCAUACCAUCAGAUGUGCCCAGAUGGGAUUAGCUUGUUGGUGGGGUAACGGCUCACCAAGGCGACGAUCCCUAGCUGGUCUGAGAGGAUGACCAGCCACACUGGAACUGAGACACGGUCCAGACUCCUACGGGAGGCAGCAGUGGGGAAUAUUGCACAAUGGGCGCAAGCCUGAUGCAGCCAUGCCGCGUGUAUGAAGAAGGUCUUCGGGUUGUAAAGUACUGUCAGCGGGGAGGCGUUACCCGCAGAAGAAGCACCGGCUAACUCCGUGCCAGCAGCCGCGGUAAUUC